GACGAACCGUGCGAACGUUAUUCGGAAUCACUGGGCUUAAAGGGCGCGUAGGCGGGCAUUCAAGUCAGGGGUGAAAUCGUUCGGCUCAACCGGACCAGGGCCCCUGAUACUGGAUGCCUCGAGGGAGGUAGGGGUCGAUGGAACUAAUGGUGGAGCGGUGAAAUGCGUAGAUAUCAUUAGGAAGCGCCGGUGGGCGAAAGCGAUCGACUGGACCUCUUCUGACGCUGAGGCGCGAAAGCCAGGGGAGCGAACGG
rnacentral:rRNA from 1 species